rnacentral:rRNA from 1 species
AAUAUUGGACAAUGGGCGAAAGCCUGAUCCAGCCAUGCCGCGUGUGUGAAGAAGGUCUUCGGAUUGUAAAGCACUUUAAGUUGGGAGGAAGGGUUAUAGGUUAAUAGCCUGCAAUGUUGACGUUACCAACAGAAUAAGCACUGGCUCACUUAGUGCACGCAGCCGCGGUAAUAAGAAGGGUGCAAUCUUUAAUCGGAAUUACUGGGCGUAAAGCGCGCGUAGGUGGUUCGUUAAGUUGGAAGUGAAAGCCCCGGGCUUAACCUGGGAAUUGCUUUCAAAACUGACGAGCUAGAGUACGGUAGAGGGUAGUGGAAUUUCCUGUGUAGCGGUGAAAUGCGUAGAUAUAGGAAGGAACAUCAGUGGCGAAGGCGACUACCUGGACUGAUACUGACACUGAGGUGCGAAAGCGUGGGGAGCAAAC